AGUGAACGCUGGCGGUAGGCCUAACACAUGCAAGUCGAACGGCAGCACAGUAAGAGCUUGCUCUUACGGGUGGCGAGUGGCGGACGGGUGAGGAAUACAUCGGAAUCUACUUUUUCGUGGGGGAUAACGUAGGGAAACUUACGCUAAUACCGCAUACGACCUACGGGUGAAAGCAGCGGAUCUUCGGACCUUGCGCGAUUGAAUGAGCCGAUGUCGGAUAAGCUAGUUGGCGGGGUAAAGGCCCACCAAGGCGACGAUCCGUAGCUGGUCUGAGAGGAGGACAGGCCAAACUGGAACUGAGACACGGGCCAGACUCCUAGGGGAGGCAGCAGUGGGGAAUUUGGGACAAGGGGCGCAAGCCUGAUCAAGCCAGACCGCGGGGGGGAAGAAGGCCUUCGGGUUGUAAAGCCCUUUUGUUGGGAAAGAAAGGCAGCAGGUUAAUACCCCGCUGUUCUGACGGUACCCAAAGAAUAAGCACCGGCUAACUUCGU
rnacentral:rRNA from 1 species